AAAGCAGGGCUGUCCAACCCUGUUCCUGGAGAGAGACCCUCCUGUAGGUUUAAACUCCAACCCUGUUCCUGGAGAGAGACCCUCCUGUAGGUUUAAACUCCAACCCUGUUCCUGGAGAGAGACCCUCCUGUAGGUUUAAACUCCAACCCUGUUCCUGGAGAGAGACCCUCCUGUAGGUUUAAACUCCAACCCUGUUCCUGGAGAGAGACCCUCCUGUAGGUUUAAACUCCAACCCUGUUCCUGGAGAGAGACCCUCCUGUAGGUUUAAACUCCAACCCUGUUCCUGGAGAGAGACCCUCCUGUAGGUUUAAACUCCAACCCUGUUCCUGGAGAGAGACCCUCCUGUAGGUUUAAACUCCAACCCUGUUCCUGGAGAGAGACCCUCCUGUAGGUUUAAACUCCAACCCUGUUCCUGGAGAGAGACCCUCCUGUAGGUUUAAACUCCAACCCUGUUCCUGGAGAGAGACCCUCCUGUAGGUUUAAACUCCAACCCUGUUCCUGGAGAGAGACCCUCCUGUAGGUUUAAACUCCAACCCUGUUCCUGGAGAGAGACCCUCCUGUAGGUUUAAACUCCAACCCUGUUCCUGGAGAGAGACCCUCCUG